UACGAAGGGUGCAAACGUUGCUCGGAAUUAUUGGGCGUAAAGCGCACGUAGGCGGCUUAGCAAGUCGGAAGUGAAAAGCCCUCGGCUCAACCAAGGAAGUGCUUUCGAAACUGCUGAGCUUGAGUACUUAAGAGGAUCGCGGAAUUCCCGGUGUAGAGGUGAAAUUCGUAGAUAUCGGGAGGAACACCAGUGGCGAAGGCGGACGAUCUGGGAAGAUACUGACGCUGAGGUGCGAAAGCGUGGGGAGCAAACAGG
rnacentral:rRNA from 1 species